UUUGGGUCCUGAGACAUCAAUGUCAGCCUUGGGCAGGUUCACAUCCACUUCUGGGCCCUCUCCUUUGAAGCCAGGCAUGCUGAACUUGGGCAUUUUCAUCUUGGGCAUCUUCAGGUGCCAGUCAGGGCCUUGAACAUCCACAUCAGGGACAUCGAUGUCCACUUUGGGGCCUUUGAUGUCCACAUCUGGCACUUUCAUUUCACCUUCUAUCUUGGGCACAGACACAUCCACAUCCCCUUUGACUUUGGGGCCUUUCAGGUGUAAGUCCACAUCAGGCAUGGAGAUCUUGGGGGCCUUGAAGUG
rnacentral:misc_RNA from 1 species